CCUGAUCCAGCCAUGCCGCGUGUGUGAAGAAGGCCUUUUGGUUGUAAAGCACUUUAAGCGAGGAGGAGGCUACCUGGAUUAAUACUCUAGGAUAGUGGACGUUACUCGCAGAAUAAGCACCGGCUAACUCUGUGCCAGCAGCCGCGGUAAUACAGAGGGUGCGAGCGUUAAUCGGAUUUACUGGGCGUAAAGCGUGCGUAGGCGGCUUUUUAAGUCGGAUGUGAAAUCCCUGAGCUUAACUUAGGAAUUGCAUUCGAUACUGGGAAGCUAGAGUAUGGGAGAGGAUGGUAGAAUUCCAGGUGUAGCGGUGAAAUGCGUAGAGAUCUGGAGGAAUACCGAUGGCGAAGGCAGCCAUCUGGCCUAAUACUGACACUGAGGUACGAAAGCAUGGGGAGCAAACAGGAUUAGAUACCCUGGUAGUCCACGCCGUAAACGAUGUCAACUAGCCGUUGG
rnacentral:rRNA from 13 species